CAAGUACUCCCUCCGUCCGGAAUUACUUGUCAUCAAAAUGGAUGUGUCUAGAACUAAAAUACAUCUAGAUACAUCCAUUUCAAUGACAAGUAAUUUCGGACGGAGGGAGUACAAG
rnacentral:pre_miRNA from 1 species